UUCACUCGAACCUUAGGGUCGAGUGGUUCGACCCAUCCUCGCGAGUCGCCGCAGCUCGCUUUUGACGCCGCCACCACCGCUAUCGCGGGGAACACGAGCUGCACCGGCAAAGCCGCCUGCUGGCCGCGACGCUGCCGCUCCCUGCAGCGGGACUUGGGCCACAGGCGAGCGGGCGCACGGAUCGGGCCGCGGCGAAGCAAGCGCCCGUGGCACAGGCGAGCAGCGUGCGCGCCUGGUCACGCGCCGGCCAAGGGGCCCGCCUGCAGCGCGCCUCCCCCCUCUCGAGAGCUCUGCAUCGCGUUCUUGCCUGCUCUCUCACCGUGCAGUGAGGUAUCAAGGCACCAGGGAUUUGCCCCGAUUCAUCUUGGCUGCCUGAAGUUCUUCUCUUCUCAUUUUUCUUCUCCAUUAUUCUGAACUGCACCUAAGAAGGAUCGUUGUAGUAUUCUUGUAUAGUUUUGAUGGUCCGUUCAUGCACGGAUGAAUUUCUAUUGUUCAAUAAUAUAUAUCGUGUUGUUCUAUGGUGUAAUAUAGUGUAAUUGUAUGGAAGGGAUGAGAGAACAGAAAAAUGAUCCAUUCCAACAAGGGGUAAUAGAAGGGAUUGUAAUUAUCUUUUGACCCUUCAUUUAACGGCAGUCUGACUGUUGAGUGACGGUAAUAUUAAUAGCAGAUAAGGGAAGGCAAAUUAGAAUUGAUGGCAACGAAGGAUCCUCUAAUUUUGGAUGAUAAUGGAUGUGCUACACAUUCAAGGAGUUGGAGAAGCACAGUCAAGCAGUGGUACAAAGCGGAAGAGAACUCCUCGACCAAACAACCAACCAAUACUCCAAUAGUUGAAGGAGUACAUCUCAAUACCAAGGCUCCGGAAGUUGUACAAGUGCAGGCCAGCAAUGCAGUACAACCAAAUGGUGAUAGCGAGGUUGUUGGUCAUGGCGAUGACAACGAGAACAUUGGUGAUGGCGAGGAUCAGGAUAUUGGCUAUAGUUGGGAGGAUGAGGAUUUUGGAGAUGGUUGGGAGGAUGAGAUGGAUGAAGAAGAUAGGGCUGGAUGUGUUGAGGGUCGAAUUGAACCAGAAAUGGUUAGUGGUUUCUUACAUGGGGAGGAAAAUAGGCAAUUUAGAUCCAAGGUUUGGAAUGAGUUCAGCAAAAUCCAUGUGGCCGGUAUUGUUACAAAAGGACAAUAUAGUCGCUGCACUGCUGAGAUCAGUGCUAAGCGAGGUGCAGGAACCAGUGCUAUGAUCACUCAUUUGAAGAGAUGCAAGGUUAGGAAAAGUGUGACAAAUAUAGCUCGUCAGCUUAGGUCAACUGUCAUGUCUCCUAAAGGGGUUUCUUUGGACAACCGGAGGUUUAGUCAAGAAGUGUCUAGGAAAGAGUUAACCCGGAUGAUCUUGCUUCACGGGCUACCACUAUCUAUUGUUGACUAUGAAGGCUUUUGAUGGUUUGUCUCUAGCCUCAACCCUAUUUUUAGAAUGAUUUCAAGGAGGACUAUUUCAGAUAAUUAUUUGAAAGCUUUUCAAGAGCAAAAAAAAUACUUCGAGAUGUUCUUAAAAGUAACAAAAGUCGAGUUUGUCUGACAAUGGACAUGUGGACGUCCAACUAGACAAUUGGAUAUAUGUGCAUCACAUGUCAUUUUUUGGAUGAUGAUUGGAAGUUGCACAAGAGGAUUGUGAAGUUCCCUUUCAUGAAAACACCACACACAGUUGUUGCAAUGUUCAAUGAAGUUCUCAAGUUCAUUCAAGAAUGGAACAUUGAAGACAAGUUAUUUGCAAUAACCUUGGACAAUGCCAGAAAUAAUAAUGCAAUGGUCAAGCUCUUGAGAAAUAAUCUGCUAGAGAAACAAAAGCUAUAUGGAAAAGGAAAGUUAUUUCAUCCUCGAUGUGCUGCCCAAGUUGUCAAUUUGAUAUGCAAAGUAGGGUUUGAGAUUAUCGAUCCAAUUGUGCACAAGGUCCGGGAAAGUAUGAAGUUCGUUGAAGGAUCUACAUCACGGAAGCAAAAGUUUGAAGAGAUCAUUCAGCAGCUAGGGAUAGAAUAUGAAAAGCGCCCUAACCUUGAUACACCUACUCGCUGGAAUUCUACCUACCUUACGCUUAAUUGUUGCUUGCAAUUGAAGAGAGCUUUCGAGUCACUUACACAGCAAGACCAAGAGUAUACUUGUGCACCAUCACUUGAAGAGUGGGAAAAGGCACGAAUGGUGUGCGUAUUUCUAAAAACUUUCUAUGAUGCAACUAUGGUCAUUUCGGGAUCACAUUAUCCAACAGUAAAUCUAUAUUUUGAUGAGAUCUGGGAAGUUAAGAUUGCCUUGGAUAAUGCAGAUCCUGAGGUGAAUGCUGACCUCUUUGAGACAAUCCAGUAUAUGCAGAGGAAGUUUAAAAGAUACUGGAAAUUGACAUGGUUGCAAAUCUCAUUUCCUAUCAUUUUCGAUCCAAGAUUUAAGCUUGGAUUCGUCGAUUUUCGUUUGAAACAAGCAUUUGGGAGUCAAGCUUAGACAAAGAUUGCUACAAUGAAGAAGAUUUUUGCUAGAGCUGCUCAAAAAUUACUCACAAGUGAAUAUUGGCAAUCAAGAUAUGGCACCACAAACUCCUGCACCUCAAAUAGUUACAAAUGCAAAUGGUAGGUAUGCUGAUUGGGACCACCACAUGAGCCACAAUGUGCCCUCAACAAGUGAAAUACCAUGUGAUCUUGAAGCCUAUUUAGCGAAGCCUCCAAUUCCUCGAAGUGAAACUUUUGAUAUACUCGCAUGGUGGAAGAGUAACUCGGUUGAGUAUCCCACUCUUUCUCGCAUAUCUCGUGAUGUCUUAGCUGUUCCUGCAUCAACGGUCGCAUCCGAGUCAGCUUUCAGUACCGGGAGAAGAAUAAUAUCAGAUUUUCGAAGCCAGUUAACUCCGAAAAAUGUGGAAGCACUGGUAUGCUUGCAAGAUUGGAUGCGGACCUCAGUGCAGUGCUUCAUACACAACCUCUUCUUAUUGGAGUUUCGAAGUCUGCUAUUUUUGUUCAGACAACUGCAUGUUGUUGCAGUGCAGUGCUUCAUACACAACCUCUUCUUAUUGGAGUUUCGAAGUCUGCUAUUUUUGUUCAGACAACUGCAUGUGGCAUGGCUACAGGAACAUAGAAGGUCGCAGAGUCUGAUCAUCUAUGGGGUUAUGCAGAGUUUUGAAGUCUGUUUGCUUGUUGCACUUUGAGCAUGAACAUAAAUUAUCAUAGAUGUAUUUUACCUCUUAGGAUAAUAUGUUGAGCUGAUUAUGUAAUUAAUAUUUUAAUUUAGUUCAUCAUAUCAUGCUACUCGAUCAAGACUGUGGUCUUUUACAUGCUUAUUGAUAUACUUAUUUAGAGUCUAUUACUGCAUGCUUGCAACAAUUACGAUGUGCAUGCCUGCUUGCUUGGAGUUGGUGAGCAAGGCGUGCUUGCCUGCUUGCUUGGGAUGUCAGGACGUGCAGGCACAAAGGAGGCUGGUUCGAUCCAUACUAUCCAUUGGAGCAUACGGACCAAUCAAAUAAUCUAAAAUGGAUCGAGCGGUGCCCCACUCCCCGUUACAUGGAUUGAUGGUUCGAUUCCGGUUCCCACCAUGGGUCAACCAUCCCCAUCUUUAAUAUGAAGAGGCGAAUUUACCUCGACCCACUUACUGACAGAGUAUGAGAUAAGACUGCAUGGUUCAUAAAAACUGAGCAAAAGAAAUCGCUGACAUUGCUGCCAGCUAGGAACACCCAAUAAUGUUUAGAUGUAUAUAAGAAUUAUUCAAAGGCAGCAUAAAUUGUGACAAGAACCACAAAGAUCAAUCUUGUAACACCCAAAUAGCAAUACCGCAUACCAAAAAGAUGGGCAAAAUGGGUAAAUGAAUGAUGGGCACAACUGCUAAAUAUGUGAUAAAAAGUUUAGGGUGCAGGGGAGUAUCUUAAAUCACUCAAUGAGAUAGGCAGGCAAACUUCAUAACAAACAUAUUCUAUAGUCAAGAAGGCAUGAAGGGUAUUAUACAACAACAAAUAUUGCCAUAUCAGCUUGGAUCAUUCUUUGUCAGGAAUAUCUCCAAGGAUUAGGGACCUGUACAACUCUGUCCCCAAUGACAAAGGAACUACUAUGAACAUGAAAGAUGCAAACAGUUGCAACAGGAAUAUGGUGCAAUAUAUACUGAUAUAACACUAAGAUAUGAAUUGCAAGCAGUAAUCAUACAAUAACCCACAAACAAAACAUGUGACAGAAACAAUACAAGUAUUAAAGCUUUUUUUCUUUUUUUUCUUUGAGGACAAGCACUGCAGCUUGCUGGGGAUGUCAGAUUAUGUAUUAAAUGCAUACCAUCAAAUGAGCAAAACUGGGAAUCAUCUGAUAGAUCUGAUAAAAAAAAAACA